rnacentral:hammerhead_ribozyme from 1 species
GCACUACUGAGGAGUCCUAUACUAGGAUGAAACGGCCGUCCAGUGC